rnacentral:rRNA from 1 species
UACGUAGGGGGCUAGCGUUGUCCGGAUUUAUUGGGCGUAAAGAGCGUGUAGGCGGCCAGGUAGGUCUGGUGUGAAAACUCGAGGCUCAACCUCGAGACGCCGGUGGAAACCGUAAAGCUAGAGUCCGGAAGAGGAGAGUGGAAUUCCUGGUGUAGCGGUGAAAUGCGCAGAUAUCAGGAGGAACACCCGUGGCGAAAGCGGCUCUCUGGGACGGUACUGACGCUGAGACGCGAAAGCGUGGGGAGCAAACAGG